UCCGAACCCGGAAGCUAAGCCUCUCAGCGCCGAUGGUACUGCAGGGGCGACCCUGUGGGAGAGUAGGACACCGCCGGAC
rnacentral:rRNA from 1 species